UUUAAGCGUGUAGGGGGUGUGACCUGGUAAAUCCGGUUGCAUACUAACCCUGAGGCGUGAUGACGAUGCACUACGGUGCAGAAGUAGUUGAUGCCCUGCUUCCAGGAAAAUCCUCUAAGCUCCAGGUAACAUUAAAUCGUACCCCAAACCGACACAGGUGGUCAGGUAGAGAAUACCAAGGCGCUUGAGAGAACUCGGGUGAAGGAACUAGGCAAAAUGGUGCCGUAACUUCGGGAGAAGGCACGCUGGCAUGUAGGUGAAGUCCCUUGCGGAUGGAGCUGAAGCCAGUCGAAGAUACCAGCUGGCUGCAACUGUUUAAUAAAAACACAGCACUGUGCAAACACGAAAGUGGACGUAUACGGUGUGACGCCUGCCCGGUGCUGGAAGGUUAAUUGAUGGGGUCAGCCGCAAGGCGAAGCUCUUGAUCGAAGCCCCAGUAAACGGCGGCCGUAACUAUAACGGUCCUAAGGUAGCGAAAUUCCUUGUCGGGUAAGUUCCGACCUGCACGAAUGGCGUAAUGAUGGCCAGGCUGUCUCCACCCGAGACUCAGUGAAAUUGAACUCGCUGUGAAGAUGCAGUGUACCCGCGGCAAGACGGAAAGACCCCGUGAACCUUUACUAUAGCUUGACACUGAACAUUGAGCCUUGAUGUGUAGGAUAGGUGGGAGGCUUUGAAGCGUGGACGCCAGUCUGCGUGGAGCCAUCCUUGAAAUACCACCCUUUAAUGUUUGAUGUUCUAACUCGGCCCCGUGAUC
rnacentral:rRNA from 1 species